rnacentral:rRNA from 1 species
UACGAAGGGUGCAAACGUUGCUCGGAAUUAUUGGGCGUAAAGCGCACGUAGGCGGUAUUGCAAGUCGGAUGUGAAAUCCCUCGGCUUAACCAAGGAAGUGCAUCCGAAACUGCUGUACUUGAGUACGAAAGAGGAUCGCGGAAUUCCCGGUGUAGAGGUGAAAUUCGUAGAUAUCGGGAGGAACACCUGUGGCGAAAGCGGCUCACUGGACCAUUACUGACGCUGAGGCUCGAAAGCUAGGGGAGCAAACAGG